rnacentral:lncRNA from 1 species
GCCCGCUGGCAGCUAUCCAUCACAAAUUUGUUUUAAAAACCCUGUUAAGGGAGGUUGCCCAUUCACUCUCGCCCUAGAUUUCAACAAACCUAAGCAGCGGGAGCACUGUGCUAUCUUCUGCUACUAUCUGCGAGCAACGCCUGCUGCUACUUGACGAGGGCAACAGUAAUGUAAUGCGUGCUCGCCCUAGAUUUCAACAAACCUAAGCAGCGGGAGCACUGUGCUAUCUUCUGCUACUAUCUGCGAGCAACGCCUGCUGCUACUUGACGAGGGCAACAGUAAUGUAAUGCGUGCUCGCCCUAGAUUUCAACAAACCUAAGCAGCGGGAGCACUGUGCUAUCUUCUGCUACUAUCUGCGAGCAACGCCUGCUGCUACUUGACGAGGGCAACAGUAAUGUAAUGCGUGCUCUGCAAACCCUGCAAUCAUCUCUCUUUCCUUUUUUUCGCCCUAACUUUGUCUCUCCAAUCCCAUUU